UUACAUGCUUGUAAGGCAAGUGCUUUCUAAAAACAGUCAAAAAUGUGAAAUACCAGUGCCAUGGGUUUCUUUUCUGCAUUGGGUAUUUACAAAUAUGUCACAAUAUCUGCUCUGUUGAUGUCACACUACUAAGCACAAAGAUGUGAAGACUGCAGACUGAUCUGAAGAAAAGAGUUGAACUGUGAUCCACAGGCCUAUUCAUCACAGCAACUGCCAGGGGCACCAGGAACAAUUUUUGUAUGCAUGAGGAAAAGCUAAGAAGAGAGUCAAGAAACGAUUAGUAACUGGACUCUGUUUGGAGGUUGUUGGAGGCAUUCUCUCAAGUUGACCAGUCAGGAAGAGCUCUGGACUGAGGAGACCAGUGGGACGUUGACUGAGAGGGAAUGCAUACUGUAUAUCCAUGAAGCAGAGGUCACCAUGUUCCUCCCAUCCCAUCUCCCAUUGCAGAGGAUGGCCACCCCUCCUGUUUCUGUCUCUGGGAGAGUCCUCUCCUCCUCAUGUGGUCAGUAAUGGACAUUUGCCCAGAUGCCCUUUUAAACAAUAAUAAUCUCCAUCACAGACCACGCUAAUGCGAUACAAUAGCUAGCUGCUAUGCAUCAAAGCUGUCACAGUGGCUCUAUGCCUUUUCAUUAGAAACCAAUGGGCAACUUGCCCUGCCAUGGCCAGCAAAUGUAUUUAGGACAUAAAUCAGAAACUGUACCGUACCUCAUAAAGCAGGACUGGUAGAGCGCAUGACUUACUGCAUCUUGUAUAAAAUCUGGCUGUUUGACAACAGCAAGUGCAACAUGUUGUGGUAAAAAGAGCCGUUGGUCCUUCUAAACCUGUCUCACAUUUUCAUUCUGUAAAUCUGUGUCGUUCAGCAGUCAGCCAUGAACCAUGUUCUUUUACUCUCUAGGCAAAGACUGUACACAGCUGGGAGU